rnacentral:rRNA from 1 species
UACGGAGGGUGCGAGCGUUGUCCGGAAUCACUGGGCGUAAAGGGCGCGUAGGCGGCUCUGCACGUCCGUUGUGAAAUCGCCCGGCUCAACUGGGCGGGGUCAGCGGAUACGGCAGAGCUUGAGCAAGCUAGGGGGCAAUGGAAUUCCCGGUGUAGUGGUGGAAUGCGUAGAUAUCGGGAGGAAUACCUAUGGCGAAAGCAGGCUUCUGGGCUAUCACUGACGCUGAUCUGCGAAAGCUAGGGGAGCGAACAGG